rnacentral:rRNA from 1 species
GACGAAGGGGGCUAGCGUUGUUCGGAAUUACUGGGCGUAAAGCGAGUGUAGGUGGUUGUCCAAGUUGGAUGUGAAAGCCUUGAGCUCAACUCAAGAAAUGCAUUCAGGACUGGGCGGCUAGAGGACCGGAGAGGAUAGUGGAAUUCCCAGUGUAGUGGUGAAAUGCGUAGAGAUCCGGAGGAACACCAGAGGCGAAGGCGGCAACCUGGCUCGUAACUGACGCUCAUACACGACAGCAUGGGGAGCGAACGGG